GAUGAACGCUGGCGGCGUGCCUAAUACAUGCAAGUCGAGCGAACGGACGAGAAGCUUGCUUCUCUGAUGUUAGCGGCGGACGGGUGAGUAACACGUGGAUAACCUACCUAUAAGACUGGGAUAACUUCGGGAAACCGUAGCUAAUACCGGAUAAUAUUUUGAACCGCAUGGUUCAAAAGUGAAAGACGGUCUUGCUGUCACUUAUAGAUGGAUCCGCGCUGCAUUAGCUAGUUGGUAAGGUAACGGCUUACCAAGGCAACGAUGCAUAGCCGACCUGAGAGGGGGAUCGGCCACACUGGAACUGAGACACGGUCCAGACUCCUACGGGAGGCAGCAGUAGGGAAUCUUCCGCAAUGGGCGGAAGCCUGACGGAGCAACGGCGCGUGAGUGAUGAAGGUCUUCGGAUCGUAAAACUCUGUUUUUAGGGAAGAACAUAUGUGUAAGUAACUGUGCACAGCUUGACGGUACCUAAUCAGAAAGCCACGGCUAACUACGUG
rnacentral:rRNA from 1 species